CAAGAAGCCGAAAGGCUACUUAAAACCAUCGCGAACUUAUCCAAGUUGCUUCGGCGGCGCGGCUCCCCUCACGGGGGGACCGCAGCCCCCCGCCUCUCAGGAGGUAAGGGGCAGCCGCCGGAGGUACGAAACUCUGUAUUAUAGUGGUAUCUCUGAGUAUAAAACAAAUAAGUUUA
rnacentral:misc_RNA from 1 species